rnacentral:rRNA from 1 species
AUUGAACGCUGGCGGCAUGCCUUACACAUGCAAGUCGAACGGCAGCACGGGUGCUUGCACCUGGUGGCGAGUGGCGAACGGGUGAGUAAUACAUCGGAACAUGUCCUUUAGGGGGGGAUAGCCCGGCUAAAGCCGGAUUAAUACCGCAUACGAUCUACGGAUGAAAGCGGGGGACCUUCGUGCCUCGCGCUAUAGGGUUGGCCGAUGGCUGAUUAGCUAGUUGGUGGGGUAAAGGCCUACCAAGGCGACGAUCAGUAGCCGGUCUGAGAGGACGACCAGCCACACUGGGACUGAGACACGGCCCAGACUCCUACGGGAGGGAGCAGUGGGGAAUUUUGGACAAUGGGCGAAAGCCUGAUCCAGCAAUGCCGCGUGUGUGAAGAAGGCCUUCGGGUUGUAAAGCACUUUUGUCCGGAAAGAAAUCCUUGGCCCUAAUACGGUCGGGGGAUGACGGUACCGGAAGAAUAAGCACCGGCUAACUACGUG